GAUGGGUGACCGCCUGGGAACACCACGUGAUGUUGGCUU
rnacentral:sRNA from 1 species